UACAGAGGUCUCAAGCGUUGUUCGGAUUCAUUGGGCGUAAAGGGCGCGUAGGCGGCAAGGCAAGUCGGGUGUGAAAGCUUGGGGCUUAACCCCGAAAGGGCACUCGAAACUGCCCUGCUAGAGGGCCGGAGAGGAGAUCGGAAUUCACGGUGUAGCAGUGAAAUGCGUAGAGCUCGUGAGGAAGACCGGUGGCGAAGGCGGAUCUCUGGACGGCCCCUGACGCUGAGGCG
rnacentral:rRNA from 1 species